AUCGCUUCUCGGCCUUUUGGCUAAGAUCAAGUGUAGAAAAAGUCUCUAAGUUUUGUAGUUGCUACAGUCAACUUAUUUAUACUGAUCCGUAUAGGAUUUUAUUGAAUUUCCGUUCCUUUCUCAGCAACUGGCCGAUAAUUCAAUAUAUCAACUAAUCAUGCAAAUUUAGUUUGGUGAAAAUCCUG
ensembl:snRNA U2 U2 spliceosomal RNA